rnacentral:rRNA from 1 species
GGGCCCCAAGUCAGGCGAGCGCCACUUG